rnacentral:rRNA from 1 species
AUUAAUAAUUAAUAUAUUUAAUAAAAAUAAUUUUAAUUUAAUAAGUAUUUUAAUGGGGGUUAAAGUAUUUUUUAAAGAAAAAAUUUUUAAAUUUAUAGUUAAUUAGUAUUGUGAAAGAAUUUUGAAAUAUUAUGAAAAAUAAAAUUUUUAGAAAGUAAUUUUUAUUUAUUGUAUCUUGUGUAUCAGAGUUUAUUAAAAAUUUUUAAUUUAUGAAUUAAUUUCUCGAAUUUAAAAGAGUUAAAUAAUUAUUAAAGUUAUUGUAGCAAAAUUAUUUUAAAUAAUUAUUUAGAAAUGAAAUGUUAAUCGUUUUUAAAUAUAUCUAGUUUUUAUAGAAAAAAAUUUAAUUUUAAAUUUAAGAAUUAUUUAAUUAACUUAUUAAUUAAAUAAUUACUUAAAUUUUAUAAUUUAAGGGAUAAGCUUUAAAUUAAAUUUUUAUAAUACUAAAUUUUUAUUUUGAAAAUUUUAUAAUUUAUAUUGUUAAUAAAUUUUAUUUUAUUAUAAAUAAUUUCAUUUUUUUUAAAAUUUAAAUUUUAUUUAAUUUUUUAUAUAAAAUUUAUUUAUAAUUAUAUAAAGUUAAUUAUAAUGAUAAAAUUAGUAUAUUAUUUAAUAUUAAAUUAAAAUUAAUUUUUGGUUAAUAAUUAAAUUAAUUAAAAGGAAUUCGGCAAAUAUUUAUUUUCACUUGUUUAUCAAAAACAUGUCUUUUUGUUAUUUAAUUUAAAGUCUAAUCUGCCCACUGAUUUAUAAAAAUUGAAGGGCUGCAGUAUAUUGACUGUACAAAGGUAGCAUAAUCAUUAGUCUCUUAAUUGGUGACUUGUAUGAAAGAUUGGAUGAAAAAUAUACUGUCUCUUAAUUAAUAUAUAGAAUUUAAUUUUUUAUUUAAAAAGUUAAAAUAACUUAAAAAGACGAGAAGACCCUAUAGAGUUUAAUAAAUUAUUUUAUGAAAGUUUUAUUUAUAUUUAUUAAUAAUUUUAUAAAUUUAUUUAUUUAGUUGGGGUGAUAAAAAAAUAAAUUUAACUUUUUUUAAGUAAUUUACAUGAAUAAGUGAUUAAU